GGAUGCGAUCAUACCAGCACUAAAGCACCGGAUCCCAUCAGAACUCCGAAGUUAAGCGUGCUAGCGUGCUUGGGCGAGAGUAGUACUAGGAUGGGUGACCUCCUGGGAAGUCCUCGUGUUGCAUUCC
rnacentral:rRNA from 1 species